GUGCCAGCAGCCGCGGUAAGACGGAGGGUGCUAGCGUUGUUCGGAAUCACUGGGCGUAAAGGGCGCGUAGGCGGCCUUGUCAGUCGGGCGUGAAAGCCCGGGGCUCAACCCCGGAACGGCGCCCGAGACGGGAAGGCUGGAGACCGGGAGAGGAGGGUGGAAUAGCCAGUGUAGAGGUGAAAUUCGUAGAUAUUGGCUGGAACACCGGUGGCGAAAGCGGCUCUCUGGCCCGGGUCUGACGCUGAGGCGCGAAAGCGUGGGGAGCAAACAGGAUUAGAAACCCCGGUAGUCC
rnacentral:rRNA from 1 species